GACGGUGGAUGCAAGUGUUAUCCGGAAUCACUGGGCGUAAAGCGUCUGUAGGUGGUCAAAUAAGUCAACUGUUAAAUCUUGAGGCUCAACCUCAAAAUCGCAGUCGAAACUAUUCGACUAGAGUAUAGUAGGGGUAAAGGGAAUUUCCAGUGGAGCGGUGAAAUGCGUAGAGAUCGGAAAGAACACCAACGGCGAAAGCACUCUGCUGGGCCGACACUGACACUGAGAGACGAAAGCUAGGGGAGCGAAUGGG
rnacentral:rRNA from 1 species